rnacentral:rRNA from 1 species
GGUUAAGCGACUAAGCGUACACGGUGGAUGCCCUGGCAGUCAGAGGCGAUGAAGGGCGUGCUAAUCUGCGAUAAGCGCCGGUAAGGUGAUAUGAACCGUUAUAACCGGCGAUACCCGAAUGGGGAAACCCAGUGUGACUCGUCACACUAUCAUUAACUGAAUCCAUAGGUUAAUGAGGCGAACCGGGGGAACUGAAACAUCUAAGUACCCCGAGGAAAAGAAAUCAACCGAGAUUCCCCCAGUAGCGGCGAGCGAACGGGGAGGAGCCCAGAGCCUGAAUCAGCAUGUGUGUUAGUGGAAGCGUCUGGAAAGUCGCGCGAUACAGGGUGACAGCCCCGUACACAAAAGCGCAUGUGUUGUGAGCUCGAUGAGUAGGGCGGGACACGUGGUAUCCUGUCUGAAUAUGGGGGGACCAUCCUCCAAGGCUAAAUACUCCUGACUGACCGAUAGUGAACCAGUACCGUGAGGGAAAGGCGAAAAGAACCCCGGCGAGGGGAGUGAAAAAGAACCUGAAACCGUGUACGUACAAGCAGUGGGAGC